rnacentral:hammerhead_ribozyme from 1 species
GCACUGCUGAGGAGUCCCACAACAGGAUGAAACAGCCGUCCAGUGC